AAAGAAACAACAUUUCUCUAGGAAUUCCAAUCAUCGGUCACCAAAUCCUUUCUGAAGUGUGUCGUUCAUAAAAACCCGACCUGCUAGCACUGAAGUUGUAUUUUACCUGUUGCACGUUACCCUAGAAAAAGAAUGUGGCACGAUGUCCCUGGUUCCCUAUCUCACUAUCCAGGCCACUCCUCCCCUACAAUAAUGAAGGCAAAAAUUGAAGAACAAAUUUUUGUUGAGAACAUAAUAGGAAAGAAAUGAAGGAUAUAAUAGAAACAAUGGAUAAAUAUAAAAUCACUAAAGAAUUGUUUAUUGCACUGAAACUGAAAUCAAAAGAAAAAUGCAUGCACCAUGGAACAUUCAGGAAAUCGCUAUUGGUGGGUUAUUUCUUCAUGACAGGAGAACAAUAUUAAAUAUGUGCUUAUAAAUUACUGUAAUUAGCAAUAUAAGAGAUGUCCAUUUGAGUUAGCAACAUGAUCAUAAGAAAGGAUCAAGUAUUCCAUUGAAUUUAAACAUGACAUACCAAAAAGUGAUGGAGAAGUUAGAAGCAAACAGUGUCAUUGAGGGGCCUUUCUCUGAACAAUUGUUUAAUAAAUUGUGUAGAACUAAACCAUUCAAUUGUGAAAAAUAGAAUGGAAGCAGUUGUUUUUUUAUGAUUGUUUCUGCAACUGUGAGAAAGAGAAAGGUAGCAAUUAUGUAUUUGUGAGUGUGAUUAGUGGGUAAGCCAGAUUUUUUUCAAAGAAAAAUACAGCAGUUAUGUUUUGGUGUGUGAUUAGUGGGUAAAGCAGAUUUUUUUUUUAAUAACUG
rnacentral:lncRNA from 1 species